GGUUUGUCAGACUGACAUUCUUUUUUUUAAUGUGUAAAACUUGUUGCAGAAUGGGUCAAUCUUGUGAUACAGCAUUUCAAAUAAUCAGGUUAUCAAAACCUCUUAAUUAUUCAAGUAUUACAAAAGCUCAGUGUUGAGUUAACUCAAGCUUGAGUUGGCUAAAGUAGACCCGUUUUGACUUGAGUUAUUGAUUGAAGGAUUCACAAGUGAGUGAUACCGAGGAGGGUUUUCAGUGGAGGGACGGCCUGAGUUUUCCACAUUUACAGUAGGUGUUGACAAGAUGAGUGAGUGAUACCAAGGAGGGUUUUCAGUAGAGGGACGGCCUGAGUUUUCCACAUUUACAGUAGGUGUUGACAAGAUGAGCCAUCAGCACGGCUCGGUGAAGUCUGUCUGCAAUGGUUACCAUGUACAGACAUAAACAUCGUAAAAAAAACAAUGUAAAUAAUUGUCAUAUAUGUACAGCAGAUAUUUUUCUAGAAUUAUUUAAGCGAUGAUCUCUUGUAUUCUUAAUGUAUUUGGAGUUUGUUGGAUGGUAUUGUGUGCUGUUGAUGUGACCCAUGUAUUGGUUUUCUAUGUGUAUGCGUGUCUUAAGAGUUUUAGAAGAUACGCACGUGUAUUUUUGAAACUAAAUAUUUAGUUAAAAUAAUUUUUACUUUGUGGGAGAUGGAACGGGUAUUGGGUUAAGAAUAAAAUAAGUGCAUUUGUGUUUAAA